GCCUGGGUGGCUCAGUAGGUUAAGCAUCUGACUUUGGCUCAGGUCAUGAUCUCAUGGUUUGUGGGUUCGAGCCCCACGUUUGGCU
rnacentral:tRNA from 1 species